AAAUAUCGGAUUUCACCUCUACUGCACACAAGUAAUCAUCAAGUUGAUUGACCCG
rnacentral:sRNA from 1 species